CUAUACNUGCAAGUCGAGCGAGCGGAACCAACAGAUUUACUUCGGUAAUGACGUUGGGAAAGCGAGCGGCGGAUGGGUGAGUAACACGUGGGGAACCUGCCCCUAAGUCUGGGAUACCAUUUGGAAACAGGUGCUAAUACCGGAUAAUAAAGCAGAUCGCAUGAUCAGCUUUUGAAAGGCGGCGUAAGCUGUCGCUAAGGGAUGGCCCCGCGGUGCAUUAGCUAGUUGGUAAGGUAACGGCUUACCAAGGCGACGAUGCAUAGCCGAGUUGAGAGACUGAUCGGCCACAUUGGGACUGAGACACGGCCCAAACUCCUACGGGAGGCAGCAGUAGGGAAUCUUCCACAAUGGACGCAAGUCUGAUGGAGCAACGCCGCGUGAGUGAAGAAGGUUUUCGGAUCGUAAAGCUCUGUUGUUGGUGAAGAAGGAUAGAGGUAGUAACUGGCCUUUACUUGACGGUAAUCAACCAGAAAGUCACGGCUAACUAC
rnacentral:rRNA from 1 species